GACACGAGGAUUUUCAGUCCUCUGCUCUACCAGCUGAGCUAUCCCGAC
rnacentral:tRNA from 3 species